CCUACGGGUGGCAGCAGUGGGGAAUAUUGCACAAUGGGCGCAAGCCUGACGCAGCGACGCCGCGUGUGUGAUGAAGGUCUUCGGGUCGUAAAGCUCUGUCAGCGGGGAGGAACGCUGUCUGUUCUAUACCCCCAUUGAUUGACGUUACCUGCAGAAGCAGCACCGGCUAACUCCGUGCCAGCAGCCGCGGUAAUACGGAGGGUGCAAGCGUUAAUCGGAAUUACUGGGCGUAAAGCGCUCGUAGGCGGUCUGUCAAGUCGAGGGUGAAAUCCCCGGGCUCAACGUGGGAACUGCCUUUGAAACUGGCAGACUGGAGUGUGGGAGAGGGGAGUGGAAUUCCAGGGGUAGGAGUGAAAUGCGUAGAGAUCUGGAGGAAUACCAGUGGCGAAGGCGA
rnacentral:rRNA from 1 species